rnacentral:lncRNA from 1 species
CUGCCUGCAGAGCUGAUUGAGCCUUCUUCUGGCAAAUUUCUUUGGAGACCAUGAAGUUUCCUCAUACCAUAAUAAUCAAUGCAAGCUAUUGCCACUGAAAUCCAAUAAGGUAGGUGGAAGGCUGCUGGUGAAAUCUUAUCUGCUAGGUGGAAGGCUGCUGGUGGAUCCACAUGCAAGGAAUAAGAUCCUAUCCGGGCCUAUCAUCCUGCACAUAAGAAAAGAAGAAGAGCUUAAAGGUUAUCAAAGCUGACCUAGCCGAGCACCGUCAAUACUUGAAUCAAAUAAGGCUCCAAGGAGCAAUAGGAGGAGAAGGAAGAUACCUAGAGGAAAGUAUAUUUUGGGCCUCCUUUUAUAGGUAAAGAGUUCUUAUCCCAACAAAACAAGGAUGGUGAUUAGAUUGGGUUGGAUCACAUGCUGAUUGAUCUAAAAAUUUAUUAAUCCAAAUUCAA